CAUCCUCAACACAAGAUAAUUUUUCUUUAAUUUUAGAACAUUUAAAAAGUAACCCUUCCUUCACAUAUUAACAAGAAAUACGAAUAAAAGAACAUUCCUUAGUGGGUUUAUAAAUAUUACCCAUAAUACGCUACUGUGCAGAUUCAUUUAAAGUAAGGUUACGGCCUGUGGUGUAAGGGCUGAGCUUGUCCCGAGGGCCAAGGUCAGUCCCUCCGCAGCCUGGGGCUGGGCUGGGCUGGGCAGUGGUGGGGGUGCUGGCCACCCUCAGCAGCUGCCCCCACAAACUCCCCUUCUGGAAACUGACCCCUGCAGCCUGGCCACUGCGUGUUGGCAACUCCACGCUGCCACGCUGGAGUUUCCAGAGCCCCUUGUGAGAGCCUCCAGAGGAUUUGAGUGACCUUGGCCUUGAGUGAAGCCAAGCGAGACCUCUCCCCUCUGCAGACUUGCCGUGUGAGAGCUCUGGGGUCUGAGCAGGGUAAAAACGACCCCCAUUCCUGCUGGGUCCCUCCCAGGCUCUUCUGCCACAUCCCCUGGGUCCUCUCUGGCUAGCUCAAUUUUUGUGUCUGGGCCAGGCCGGGAGAAAGCAUUGGCUCAGCCCCUGUUUGUCAGGAGUCCAGCAUCACCCGGGGUCUCGCCUGGUUUCAAGUAUUUCCCAGUGCCUUGCCUUGCUCCGUAGUCAAGUUUCUAGCCAGGAUUUCUUGGCUCUGGGAAAGAUUGAGUGCCUGUCGGAGCCUUCGAGGCCUGUGUUUCAUUUGCAGCCGCCUGGCUGACUGGGUGACGGUCCUGGCCCUGCCCGGUUAGCCCGUCCCCUUCUGCUUGGCCAGCAGAGGAGGGCUUUUGCGUCGUCUGUCCUAAGUCUUAAGAGGGAGGAGGCUCCCAGUUUCAGUCCUCAGCCCUACGGGGUUUAUUGCAGCUCCAGCCCAGGCUCAGGGGUGGCACUGCCUUCCAAAAGCCAGCAUUUCCUGCCUGUCUGGAAAAAGCAAGAAUGCCAACCCCAAACAGCCCCGGCUCCUAACUGUUUCUAAGUCAGACUAGGACCUGUUCAGCACCUGGCGCUCUCCUGCUAGAAAUUUCCAGCUGUUCUGAUCUUUCACACAGGGCUUGGCAAGGCUGAAAGGGUCUGGAAGCAAGUGAAUUCAGGAAGCCUGCAGAACAUUAGGCCUGGGCUGGUGGGCGCCUCUCCCCCUCCCUGCUUAAGGACCCCCUCUUAGACUUGUCGAUCACACCCUACCUUUGGAUUCACCUGGGGCAGAAGUUGGGGUGCUGGCCCUGGAGUCCAAGCGCCAGGGAAGAAAGAAAGUUCACCAUGUACCACUGUGCCCCAGGCAAGGUGCCCGAGGUUUGCCAGCCCAGUGUGGAGAAUGCGUGUGAGCCAAGGCUGUAGGUUUCAGGAGCCAACUUAGGAGCCUGUUCAGGACCUGGACAUUGAAGCAUAGAACUCAGGGGACCCCCAACGUGUCCUCAUCACUACUAUAAUGUACUUCCUGAGCUCUUGUUUGCUUUUUUUGAGCUACCAGGAUCAAAGGUACACAGACAAACACUUGCGUAUUUGUAGCCUGUGGCGGGUAAUCGUCAGGCUCAGGCGUGUGUUGGUCGUUGCCAUCAUGCGAGGAGGAAAAGUGCAUUGUUGCCUGGCUCUUUUGAAAGACGGAUGUGUACCCAUCCGCAAACACAUCGACCACGCCCAUCUUUGAAGGAUGGUAGAAAAUCGUGGAGGAGGUGAGUGGGCAGCGCGUGGAGCCUAGUUGGAGCCUGAGAAGGCAAGGAUCUUCUUUGGACACACAGUUCUGGGACAGGGGAAGAAGAUUACCACCUUCAUCAUAUGAGACUUAUAAACCCUGGAUCUUAAUUUCGUUUCCCAGGAAGAGGUCUAAUUGUUCAAAGGAUAAUGGAAGUGAGGCUAAGGGUGUGCUGAUUCUGAGCUGGGCCCUAAAGUUCCUUUAUGACACUCAGACUGUCACACAGGCUGCAAAGCCCACCAGGCAAAGGGUGGUCUUUGGCCACUGACAGCAGAGUGAACUGGGCUGCGUGCUCAGAACUUGUCCCAGGACCCAUCCCAGAUCUGCCUAAUCUCCAGCUACUGGGCUCUCUCAGGAUUGAGCCGGGGACUCCAGAUUUUAAAUAUGUUCCCCAAGUGACCCCAACAUGCCUAAAGACUGAGGCCCUUGUAAAGUAGGUGGAUGGGGGUGGAGGAGGCCAGUGGCUCCCAAGCCUGGUGGCUUGAGAAUGGACCUGGAGCUUUAAGAGAUAGCCUCCGCCCCUGGUUGAUGUGAGGUGGGCCCAGGAAUUAGUAUUCUCAUCCCAUUCCUCAGAUGAUUAUGUUCAUUAACCAGAUUGGGUAUCCUUGGAGGGACCUAACUGGGAAGAAACUUUCCUGAUCUGUUACUUGACUCUGAAAAUCUCCCCACAGCGUCUCUUCAGUGAGACUGCGACCUUCCGCACAGACCCCAGUGCAGGCUGAGGGCGUGGAGAUACUGGGGUCAUCAUGUUGUUACCCCUGCCCUAGGCUGAUUGGGAUAUAAUUGGCAUAUAACAUUGUAGAAGUUUCAGGCAUCCCACAUUUUAAUACUAACUUAAUGCAAAACGAUUAAAAUCAGAGUGUUAGCUAACACUUCUAUCAUGUCUCAGAUUUAGUAUUUCUUUUUUUGUGGUGAGAACAUUUAAGAUCUACUCUCUCAGCAACUUUCAAGUGCAUGGUACGGCAUUAUUAACUGUAAUCACCAUCCUGCACAAUAGAUUCCCCAGGACUUACUCAUCUUCCAACUGGAAGUUUGUUCCCUUUGAUCAACAUCUCCCUGUUUUCUUCUGCCCACUGCCCCCAGCAUUCUACUCUUAGUUUCUAUGCACUUGGCUUUUUUAGAUUCCACAUAUAUAAGUGGUGACAUUCAGUAUUUGUCUUUCUCUG